rnacentral:rRNA from 1 species
AAGACUGGAUAACUUCGGGAAACCGGAGCUAAUACCGGAUAAUAUUUCGAACCGCAUGGUUCGAUAGUGAAAGAUGGUUUUGCUAUCACUUAUAGAUGGACCUGCGCCGUAUUAGCUAGUUGGUAAGGUAACGGCUUACCAAGGCGACGAUACGUAGCCGACCUGAGAGGGUGAUCGGCCACACUGGAACUGAGACACGGUCCAGACUCCUACGGGAGGCAGCAGUC